rnacentral:rRNA from 1 species
UAACGCGUGGGAAUCUGCCCUGGAGUGGGGGAUAACCGAGGGAAACCUCGGCUAAUACCGCAUACGUCCUGAGGGAGAAAGAUUUAUCGCUCCAGGAGGGGCCCGCGUCGGAUUAGCUAGUUGGUGGGGUAACGGCUUACCAAGGCGAUGAUCCGUAGCUGGUCUGAGAGGAUGAUCAGCCACACUGGGACUGAGACACGGCCCAGACUCCUACGGGAGGCAGCAGUGGGGAUUAUUGGACAAUGGGCGCAAGCCUGAUCCAGCAAUGCCGCUUGAGUGAUGAAGGCCUUAGGGUUGU